rnacentral:rRNA from 1 species
UACGGAAGGCAGCAGUGGGGAAUAUUGCACAAUGGGCGCAAGCCUGAUGCAGCCAUGCCGCGUGUAUGAAGAAGGCCUUCGGGUUGUAAAGUACUUUCAGCGGGGAGGAAGGUGUUGUGGUUAAUAACCGCAGCAAUUGACGUUACCCGCAGAAGAAGCACCGGCUAACUCCGUGCCAGCAGCCGCGGUAAUACGGAGGGUGCAAGCGUUAAUCGGAAUUACUGGGCGUAAAGCGCACGCAGGCGGUCUGUCAAGUCGGAUGUGAAAUCCCCGGGCUCAACCUGGGAACUGCAUUCGAAACUGGCAGGCUAGAGUCUUGUAGAGGGGGUAGAAUUCCAGGUGUAGCGGUGAAAUGCGUAGAGAUCUGGAGGAAUACCGGUGGCGAAGGCGGGCCCCUGGGACAAAGCUGACGCUCAGGUGCGAAAGCGUGGGGAGCGAAACAGGAUUAGGAUAACC